CUGUAGACUUCGAUAAUCGGCGUUCCGCCUUUGUGGUACACCCAGGAAAGCAUCCCCCACCUUUCGACCUCGGUGGCGCUGUACUUCUCCUCCCUCUGCGGCAUGCCGGUGCCGAGCGACAGAACCAACAGGUCUCCUUCCAUCGGAUGAUUGUUCGCUGCAACUCCUCCAUCAACGAGAUUAUAGGUUUUCGACUUCCCCUCCGGAUUCCUAAUCUCGAAAUAGUGAGGAGGAAGAUAAGUCGGGGCAGCAGAUGUGCCAAGGCACACAUCAGACAGCAAAGCAUUCCUCAACGCGUGUGUUCUUCCCUGCUUUUAUCCAUUUCAUCAUUUUCUUCAACCAUUUCCAUACCAAUCUUAAUCUCAAUAGCACAUUAAUAUUUUACCUCUCUGGUGUUGAAGAUUACAGGCUGAAGGUUCUUGAUAUCGAACGAUGGAAUCACCACAUCCGUCAGAGUCUGGCUCAGAGUCAAGUUCUUCAGCAGCGUCUGCGUCAAUGAUUUCAGGUACUUCCCAUCAUACUUUGGCCCUCCUAAAAAAUUGGUUAACCUGUCUAUAAUGCUGUUCCGGCUGAUUUUUAGAUACACAAUGUUCUUGAUUAGUUUUGAUCAUCACCAAAUUGAUAAAUCACGUUAAAAAAACAGGGGAGAAAACUGUGAAAUUAGUAUGUAGAAUAGAUCAGUUUUACCUGCUCUCAGGGAAGAUUUUAGGGCAGUGUUCUAUGUAGAAUCCAGCAAUAUCUUUAGCAGCAUAUAAAGGUCGAUUAUCCUUACCAGGGGCAGUGACCAUUACAGUGAUCAAACCCCCUGUGCUUGUCCCAGCUAUUACAUCAAAGUAGUCUGCAAUUCUUGCAUUAGGCCCAUCCAAUGCCUGUAAGAAAUUUUGCCAUAUUUCUUUCAGUGCACACAAAAUUAAUGAGAAGGAACCCUGAAAAUGGUAUGAUAGAAUUUACCUGUAGUUUGGCUUCUAGAUUGGCAAGAAGUACCCCAGGAAUGACCCCUCUUAUCCCACCCCCAUCAACACUCAACACAGUCACCACUUUUCUCUGAGUUUCGGCGUAUGCCGACGAUGACGACGACGGGACUAGAAAACAGAGGGAUAUGGCCAAAUUAAGAGCAAGGAUGAGAACCCUGUUCUCCAUAUCUGUUUGAUGAGCUUUGGUAUCCCAAUCUUUGAAAUUUACCUAUAGGACUAGUUGAUCAAACCCAAUGAAUGGCUCAGCUGUUUCUGUCAAAAUGUUGGUGUAUAUUUUAUAGAUAUUGUCUCUGAGCUUAACCCAGUAUUGCAGGCUUACAUUUACCAA